ACGCCGCGUGAGUGAUGACGGCCUUCGGGUUGUAAAGCUCUGUUAAUCGGGACGAAAGGCCUUCUUGCGAAUAGUGAGAAGGAUUGACGGUACCGGAAAAGCAAGCCACGGCUAACUACGUGCCAGCAGCCGCGGUAAUACGUAGGUGGCAAGCGUUGUCCGGAAUUAUUGGGCGUAAAGCGCGCGCAGGCGGCUAGGUCCCAAGUCUGUCUUAAAAGUUCGGGGCUUAACCCCGUGAUGGGAUGGAAACUGCCAAUCUAGAGUAUCGGAGAGGAAAGUGGAAUUCCUAGUGUAGCGGUGAAAUGCGUAGAGAUUGGGAGGAACACCAGUGGCGAAGGCGACUUUCUGGACGAAAACUGACGCUGAGGCGCGAAAGCGUGGGGAGCAAACAGGAUUAGAUACCCUGGUAGUCCACGCCGUAAACGAUGGGUACUAGGUGUAGGAGGUAUCGACCCCUUCUGUGCCGGAGUUAACGCAAUAAGUACCCCGCCUGGGGAGUACGACCGCAAGGUUGAAACUCAAAGGAAUUGACGGGGGCCCGCACAAGCGGUGGAGUAUGUGGUUUAAUUCGACGCAACGCGAAGAACCUUACCAGGUCUUGACAUUGAUGGACAGAACCAGAGAUGGUUCCUCUUCUUCGGAAGCCAGAAAACAGGUGGUGCACGGUUGUCGUCAGCUCGUGUCGUGAGAUGUUGGGUUAAGUCCCGCAACGAGCGCAACCCCUAUCUUAUGUUGCCAGCACGUAAAGGUGGGAACUCAUGAGAGACUGCCGCAGACAAUGCGGAGGAAGGCGGGGAUGACGUCAAAUCAUCAUGCCCCUUAUGACCUGGGCUACACACGUACUACAAUGGGAGUUAAUAGACGGAAGCGAGAUCGCGAGAUGGAGCAAACCCGAGAAACACUCUCUCAGUUCGGAUCGUAGGCUGCAACUCGCCUACGUGAAGUCGGAAUCGCUAGUAAUCGCAGGUCAGCAUACUGCGGUGAAUACGUUCCCGGGCCUUGUACACACCGCCCGUCACACCACGAAAGUCGGAAGUGCCCAAAGCCGGUGGGGUAACCUUCGGGAGCCAGCCGUCUAAGGUAAAGUCGAUGAUUGGGGUGAAGUCGUAACAAGGUAGCCGUAUCGGAA
rnacentral:rRNA from 1 species